GAUCAGGCUGAAGAAUGACCAUGAUGGAGAAUUGAGAAACAAGACCAUCUGCAUCAACAGGAAUUUGGUAGCUGAUCUAGGAAUGCAGCCUGAAGAAAUCAGCACCUCCUAGAUACAGAAUGAACAGAAGGGCUCAGAAGAAAUAUGAGGACAAAUAGGUAUGCUAGACUGAGGCAGAAGAGGCUUGAAUAUUGACUUCAUCUUUUAAGAUAACUCCCCAGGUAAG
rnacentral:lncRNA from 10 species